rnacentral:rRNA from 1 species
AGGACGAACGCUGGCGGCGUGCUUAACACAUGCAAGUCGAGCGGAAAGGCCCUUCGGGGUACUCGAGCGGCGAACGGGUGAGUAACACGUGAGUAAUCUGCCUUCAGCUCUGGGAUAGCUCCGGGAAAACCGGGAUUAAUACCGGAUAUGACCACUUCGGACAUCUGUUGUGGUGGAAAGUUUUUCGGCUGGAGAUGAGCUCGCGGCCUAUCAGCUUGUUGGUGGGGUAAAGGCCUACCAAGGCGACGACGGGUAGCCGGCCUGAGAGGGCGACCGGCCACACUGGGACUGAGACACGGCCCAGACUCCUACGGGAGGCAGCAGUGGGGAAUAUUGGACAAUGGGGGCAACCCUGAUCCAGCCAUGCCGCGUGAGUGAUGAAGGCCUUCGGGUUGUAAAGCUCUUUUGGCGGGGACGAUGAUGACGGUACCCGCAGAAUAAGCCCCGGCUAACUUCGUGCCAGCAGCCGC